GGAACUUGAGGUCCUGAUUGGGGCAGAAGGAGAACCCAAGGAAAGUUGACUUGGAGGCCCUUUCUGUCCCCACAGGACUUUGGCCUGG
rnacentral:pre_miRNA from 1 species